CAUGCAAGUCGAACGGGAAUUACUUUAUUGAAACUUCGGUCGAUAUGAUUUAAUUCUAGUGGCGGACGGGUGAGUAACGCGUGGGUAACCUGCCUUGUACAGGGGGAUAACAGUCAGAAAUGACUGCUAAUACCGCAUAAGCGCACAGAGCUGCAUGGCUCGGUGUGAAAAACUCCGGUGGUAUAAGAUGGACCCGCGUUGGAUUAGCUAGUUGGUGAGGUAACGGCCCACCAAGGCGACGAUCCAUAGCCGGCCUGAGAGGGUGAACGGCCACAUUGGGACUGAGACACGGCCCAGACUCCUACGGGAGGCAGCAGUGGGGAAUAUUGCACAAUGGGGGAAACCCUGAUGCAGCGACGCCGCGUGAAGGAAGAAGUAUCUCGGUAUGUAAACUUCUAUCAGCAGGGAAGAAAAUGACGGUACCUGACUAAGAAGCCCCGGCUAACUACGUGCCAGCAGCCGCGGUAAUACGUAGGGGGCAAGCGUUAUCCGGAUUUACUGGGUGUAAAGGGAGCGUAGACGGAUGGACAAGUCUGAUGUGAAAGGCUGGGGCUCAACCCCGGGACUGCAUUGGAAACUGCCCGUCUUGAGUGCCGGAGAGGUAAGCGGAAUUCCUAGUGUAGCGGUGAAAUGCGUAGAUAUUA
rnacentral:rRNA from 1 species